CGUGGGAAUGCUCCUCCUGAGUCAGCGGGGCCUGCAGGGCCCCUGGGUGUGGCUGCGCUUUCCUUUGGCCCCAACACAGAUGCCUUUAUCUCACAGGAUAUCACUGCGCCAUCACGGGUUCAGGGUCGGAGCUGCAGGAUGGAGGCUGUUUGCUUUGCGUCCAUUUUUAGGACUGUUCCUUGGGCGAUUACUGGAAGCGUACAGCGUCUGGGUGGGGACUUGACUGUCAGUGUGUGACCAUCAGAAAGAGAGGAGAAGCUUUGGUUCUAAAAUCAACUUUUCCCCGGAUUUGUUGCAUAAAUUUGGAGACUUUGUUCUCUCCUCCAGGCCUCACUUUCUUCUCCUGGAAAACUGAAAUGAUUCCAUGCCUACCUAUGUCACAGGAUCGUGCUGAGAACCAUGGACAAGGAGCGUAGCAGUUGAUAAACUGCAAGGUAUCACACAGAAGCAAGAAGACUUUUUUUUUUUUUUUUCCCCCACAGCUGGGUAUUAACAUUUCUGAUCCCUUCUAGCUGCUCACCUGUUUGAAGAAUCUCAUCCAUGUCUACCCUUGAAGGGCUGGUGUUUGGUAUUCUUGAGACAGAUGGUUGGAUUAUUUAUUUUUUUAUUUGUUUAUUUAUUUGGGAUAGUACCAGGGAUUGAACCCAGGAACACUUUACCACUGAGCCACAUGCCCAGCCCUUUAAAAAAAACAUUUUAUUUAGAGACAGGGUCUCACUGAGUUGCUUAGGGCCCUACUAAGUUGCUGAGGCUGGCUUUGAACUCGAGAUUCUCCUGCCUCAGCCUCCUGAACUGCUGGGAUUACAGGCAUGCGCCACCGCACCUGGCUAGAGAAGGCUGGAUUCUGACCUCGGGUGCCAGAGGGAUCUCCAAGAGGUGAAGCGCUUGGGGAGCAAGUGACAGAGGCCAUGGGACCCAGUCACCCUACUCGGUCAUAGAGCCUCCUUUACCUCCAACAGCAGUGGAUUGGGAUCUCAUUUCAAAAUGCAGAAUAAAGGUUUCCAUUCUCAGUACCUCCCAGUCUCCAGUGGCACUCGUGUGAACUCUCCUAUUUGGGGGGCACAUAUGGAAGAGAGAUGCCCCCUCAGAGUAGAGACUUCCUUGGGAGAGGGAACAGUUGUGCUUACAGAAACCUGAAGAGGAGGGAGAGGUGCUGAAAAGGUUACGCCUCAGCCCCAGGCUGGGGAGAAGGGUGAUUCUUGCCAAGUGGCCACUUAGGGACUCCAGUGCCUUCAACGUAGAUUUUCAUCAGGAGCAACUCAAGAGUUUUCAGUUUGCUUUGGGGGGACAAGGGAUCAAAUCAGGAGUUGCUUUUCACGUGUCUGAGACUGUGACAAGAACCCAGCUCUCCCGUCCCUGUGCAUGGAGACACAGCUGGUUUGCAUUUCAGCAGGCUUCUGAUGGCUGAGCAGUGGUGGCAGAGUGACGCUGGCCCCCAGGAGUUUAGUACUGCAUUCCUACCAUAGUGUGUGCCCAGGAGCUCAGCCAAGAGAGUGACAGACUGGAUCUCAAGUCAUCAAAAUUAAAGGGACAGAGAAUGUUUAGUUUGGAACCUUACUUAGCCUUGUCUUCAUAUACUUGAGAACCUGUCAUGGGGAGAAGGUCCCAAUUCUGCUGGACUCACUGCCCCCAGCACUUCCUCCCUUGGGCCCAGUCUCCAGGACAAAGAGUUUAGCUACUAUAGGAGAGAACUUUCUGUAUGCCAAGAUGCCUGAAAGUGGAGAGGCAGAACCUGGCUUGCACACGACUGGGUCAGGGUGGAGGAUAUUCAGAGACCUCGGUGCUGAGUCCUAGAAACAGGACUCUGGAGCUUCCUCCAUGACCGAAAUACCCAGUAGGCCUGUGGUGCGGGCUCCUUCUCCACAGCCGCAGGUCUCUGGGGUGAAGUACAGUUCCUCGACCCUUGGGUUUGCUGGGAAGGGAGGAUGGCCUGCUUUUAUCAUUCCCUCUCUGACUAGCCCUCAUUUUCAUGUGUC
rnacentral:lncRNA from 1 species